GUAAGGCUAAAUACUCUCUAAUGACCGAUAGUGAACAAGUACCGUGAGGGAAAGGUGAAAAGAACCCCGGGAGGGGAGUGAAAUAGAUACUGAAACCAUAUGCUUACAAAAAGUUCGAGCGCGUUAAUGCGUGAGAGCGUGCCUUUUGCAGAAUGAGCCGGCGAGUUAUGGUAUUGUGCGAGGUUAAGUGGCAAACACGGAGCCGAAGCGAGAGCGAGUCUGAAUAGGGCGCUUAGUACAAUGCUGUAGACCCGAAACCGAGUGAUCUAGCCAUGAGCAGGCUGAAGUAAGGGUGAAACCUUAUGGAGGGCCGAACCAGGACACGUUGUAAAGUGUUUGGAUGACUUGUGGCUAGCGGUGAAAUUCCAAUCGAACUCGGAUAUAGCUGGUUCUCCCCGAAAUAGGUUUAGGCCUAGCCUUGGAUUAAUGCCCACUGGAGGUAGAGCACUGAAUAUGGAAUGGCUGCGUCUAGCGGUACUGACUGUAAUCAACCUCCGAAUGCCAGUGAUAGUAGAUCCAGGAGUCAGUGUAUGAGGUGAUAACGUCCAUACGCGAGAGGAAAAUAAUCCAGAUCAUCAGCUAAGGUCCCCAAAUAUAUGUUAAGUGGAAAAGGAUGUGGGAACGCACAAACAGCUAGGAGGUUGGCUCAGAAGCAGCCACCCUUCAAAGAGUGCGUAAUAGCUCACUAGUCGAGUGUUCCUGCGCCGAAAAUGUACCGGGGCUAAACAUAUUACCGAAGCUAUGGAUUUGUAUUUAUACAAGUGGUAGGGGAGCGUUCUAAGGGCGCUGAAGGUAGAUCGUGAGGACUACUGGAGCGCUUAGAAGUGAGAAUGCCGGUGUGAGUAACGUAAGGAGGGUGAGAAUCCCUCCCACCAAUCGACCAAGGAUUCCAGGGUACGGUUCGUCUUCCCUGGGUUAGUCGGGACCUAAGAUGAGGCCGAGAGGCGUAGUCGAUGGACAACAGGUUCAUAUUCCUGUACCUGCUAUGUGACUGAUGGAGUGACGGAGAAGGAUAGUGAGAGCCUAUUAUUGGAUUUAGGUUUAAACACAAAGGUUUGUGCGUAGGCAAAUCCGCGACACUAUUAAGACUAAAGUGCGAUGACGACAGUUUCUACGGAAACUUAAGUCUCAUGAAUCCAUGCUUCCAAGAAAAACUUCUAAAGAUAUUGCAUAGUUGCCCGUACCAAGAACCAACACAGGUGGUCAAGGAGAGUAUCCUAAGGUGAGCGAGAUAACCAUGGGUUAAGGAACUCGGCAAAAUUGCCCCGUAACUUCGGGAUAAGGGGAGGUCACUUCGGUGACCCACAGAAAAGAGACCCAAGCAACUGUUUACCAAAAACACAGGUUUCUGCAAAAUCGUAAGAUGAUGUAUAGGAGCUGACGCCUGCCCAGUGCUGGAAGGUUAAGAGGAUGCGUUCGGUGGACGUAAGUCGAUAACACCAAAGCGUUGAAUUGAAGCCCCAGUGAACGGCGGCCGUAACUAUAACGGUCCUAAGGUAGCGAAAUUCCUUGUCAGGUAAAUUCUGACCCGCACGAAAGGCGUAAUGAUUUGGGUGCUGUCUCAACCAUGGACUCGGUGAAAUCUUAAUACCUGUGAAAAUGCAGGUUACCAGCGACAGGACGGAAAGACCCCAUGGAGCUUUACUGUAGCUUGAUAUUGGAUUCAGAAAGUUUUUGUAGAGGAUAGGUGGUAGACUUUGAUGCGUAGGCGCCAGUUUACGUUGAGUCGACCUUGGAAUACCACCCUUAAGCUUUUUGAAUUCUAACUUACUCCCGUUAUCCGGGAGGAGGACAGUGUCUGGUGGGCAGUUUGACUGGGGCGGUCGCCUCCCAAAAAGUAACGGAGGCGCCCAAAGGUUCCCUCAGGUUGGUCGGAAAUCAACCUUCGAGCGUAAUGGUAUAAGGGAGCUUAACUGCGAGACCAACAAGUCGAGCAGGUGCGAAAGCAGGGCAUAGUGAUCAGGCGGUUGAAUAUGGAAUUGCCGUCGCUUAACGGAUAAAAGUUACCCUGGGGAUAACAGGCUGAUACCACCCAAUAGUUCACAUAGACGGUGGUGAUUGGCACCUCGAUGUCGGCUCGUCA
rnacentral:rRNA from 1 species